rnacentral:rRNA from 1 species
UACGUAGGGUGCGAGCGUUGUCCGGAAUUAUUGGGCGUAAAGAGCUCGUAGGCGGUCUGUCGCGUCGGUCGUGAAAACUUGGGGCUUAACCCUGAGCUUGCGGUCGAUACGGGCAUGACUGGAGUUCGGUAGGGGAGACUGGAAUUCCUGGUGUAGCGGUGAAAUGCGUAGAGAUGUGGAGGAACACCGGUGGCGAAGGCGGCAUCCUGGACCAACACUGACGCUGAGGAGCGAAAGCCAGGGGAGCAAACGGG